UGUCGCUGUAUUUAUCUUUCUCUUGAAAGUCUCUUUUUCUGAUGGUGGCUUACAGCAGAAACCCUGCCCUCCUAUGUGUAAGCUUAAGUUUGGCUGCGUAUAUGGAUUCGCUCAUGACGAGAACGGAUGUAAACUUUGUGCAUGCAGAACGAAACCUUGUCCACCCCGCUGUAAGAUGCGAUGCGAAGAUGGCUACGUACGUGAUAAGGAAGGAUGUGAAUUGUGUAUAUGCAAGAUAAAGCCUGAAUGUCCACUUGUUUGCACAAAACGUUGUAGAAACGGUCAAUAUAUAGACCCUAACGGAUGUCCAACUUGUAUUUGCAAGCGGCCAGGGUAAUAAAAAUAACAAUCGGAGCAUCCAUAUUGAUGGGAAGCAGUUUUGAUUUAAGAGACAUCAUUAUUAUAAUUAAC